CGGGGCGUAGCGCAGCCUGGUUAGCGCGCCUGCUUUGGGAGCAGGAGGCCGAGGGUUCGAAUCCCUCCGCCCCGA
rnacentral:tRNA from 1 species